UUUGGGAUAUGAUGCUAAAGAUUUUUAACAGAGGCUUUAGCUUUGCUGAAUUAUUGAUAUUUGCACGUCAGUCUGAUCCCAAA
rnacentral:snoRNA from 12 species